rnacentral:rRNA from 1 species
GGACGAACGCUGGCGGCGUGCUUAACACAUGCAAGUCGAACGGAAAGGCCCUGCUUUUGUGGGGUGCUCGAGUGGCGAACGGGUGAGUAACACGUGAGUAACCUGCCCUUGACUUUGGGAUAACUUCAGGAAACUGGGGCUAAUACCGGAUAGGAGCUCCUGCUGCAUGGUGGGGGUUGGAAAGUUUCGGCGGUUGGGGAUGGACUCGCGGCUUAUCAGCUUGUUGGUGGGGUAGUGGCUUACCAAGGCUUUGACGGGUAGCCGGCCUGAGAGGGUGACCGGCCACAUUGGGACUGAGAUACGGCCCAGCCGCCUACGGGAGGCAGCAGUGGGGAAUAUUGCACUAUGGGCGGAAGCCUGAUGCAGCAACGCCGCGUGCGGGAUGACGGCCUUCGGGUUGUAAACCGCUUUCGCCUGUGACGAAGCGUGAGUGACGGUAGUGGGUAAAGAAGCACCGGCUAACUACGUG